CGCGCGAUCACUAUUUUUCAUGCCCGUUUACUGUGUCACAAGUCACCCGAGCCCCGGCCACUCCCUGUCCAGUCCCGUUCUUCUCUUCUCAUUUGUCCUCGCCAUUUCCCUCAGCGAGCGUGGCUCCCGGGUCCUUCCGCUGCUGCCGCCCGCCGCCGUGCCGAUUUCCUCUGCUCCGAGCGUUCCUCCCUGCCUCCGUCCCCCAUCCAGGCAAUUCAUUUGUCUUCUAGGGUUUGAUUAUGUUAGGGUGUCCAUGAUGGCGACGGUGAGGAGGUGGCGUUAGCUAGGCCCUCUGACAUUUCCCCGUCGCAGCAAUGUCUGCUCCAACGCCCUGCGGCAUCUGUGGGGAUAGAGGCGACAAGCUCCCGUUGAACUCGCUCCCUUACAGGGAGAUCAAGAAUGGCGUGCUCUGGGGGUUUAGGGGCAAGGUAUGUUUGCUCCAUUGAUUUGUCCUGCAGUUUUGGUUAGAACAACCAUGUGUUGAGUUAUGUGCUUUGUUAAUCUGGAAAACUCUGAAAGUCUGAAUUAUUUGAUCCUGCAGUGGUUCACUUUGUGUGGAAAGCAAAUUGGCCAUGUAUAGUGGGUGUGUUAUGUGUGCUGUGCUCCUUUUUUGACUCCCAUGGGGAGAGCUAAUCCACCAAACAGACUGAAUGUUUUAUGCUUUCGCUAAUUGGGUAAUUUUUUUAGCUUGCAAAAAAUUAGUUAUUUACUACAUAGGCUUAUUGAUAGGCUGUGAAAUAACCUAGACUUUUUUUAAAAUUCUCACAUACCAGUGCUCCACAAGACUACAUACACAAAGUAGGUUCCUAAGGUGACCCUAAAAAUAAAUGGCAUACACAAACAACAUAGUUCCACCAAACAACAUUAUAUUGUUAGUCUGAAGGUCGUGAUUUUGAUUUCGAUAUUUGCAUUGUUUCCCUUUGUUUAUUUAUCUUGAAGUUAAAAAUAUGCAUUUGUGUUGAAUAAUUCGACCUAAGGUAUAUUCUAGGUCGUGAUUUAGCUUCUAAUUUGUUUGGAGUUGCUUCCUUGUGUCUGGUGCUGCUGUUUUGGCUUUUUGAAGUUGGAGGCGAACGAGCACUGAGAAUCCGUGGUCAUCUCUCUGUUCACCUCUUUUUUUGCACUCAUUGCUCUUGUACAACUAUUGUGGUGUGUUUCUCAGAACCAUUCAUAUGUUCUCUGUUGGUGGGUCUUUUGAGUUGGAAGACCAAUGAUCACCAAAGAUGGCCACUAAUGUGGCGAUCUCUAUGUUGUCUUCUCCAACAUGGUGUUCUUGAUCUUUAAUCACCAUCUUUUUUUGUUGAUGCCUCUUUUUUGCCCUUUGUGUUCCUGAUGUCUUGUCGCCUGUUUUCCUACCACUUUAUUUCUUUUUUCAGUAUGUACUAACUUGGAUAUUUGAGAUAAGCUAAAUUGAUCUGUAACGAGCUGUCAAUGUGCAUGUAUUAUUUGCUAUUAUCUUACCAUUUGCUAAUUGUCCUUGUCCUGUCCAGAUCUGACAGCACAUGCCUACUUCAGGCACCUCAAAUUAUCAUUGCUCUAAACUUUUUUACAUGUCGUGCAGCUGGAUAUGUGCACAUGUUCUGUUCAAUAUGGUAGGGUGUAUCAACCUGAAAAAAUGCAUACUUUUUUUCUAAAAAUUUCAGGAUAUGUUCCACAAUGUGUAGCUGAUUAGCUAGUAAUAUUACCAUACCCUUGUAAAUAUACUAUUCACCCUCUCAAAUUACAUCCUACUACAUGUGUCCCUUUUCCUCUUUUUCUGCAGAGCAGGUGCUUUUCUUUUUCUAUGUCCUCGAUUUGUCUGCAAAAAUAAUAUAUGAUACGUGCUGCUCUUUUCAUGGUGUCUUGGGGCUCCACCUCCAGGCUAGAUAAAUUCUGAAUGUUGUAGCCUGCGAGCAUUGUGGUACCCUCCAGCUGCUUAAUGUGUUUUUUUUUUGUUUUUUCUUGUCAAUAUGAGUGGAAAAUCUUUUAUGUUGUAUAUAUUUCUUUGAUAGUUUCAAUAUGAGUGGCACCCUCCAGCUGCUUAAACUUUGAUUCUGAUGGAAGUUAUACAUAAUUAUGAGAACUUUUUUCAAUGUUACAUCGUUAUAUAACUUUUUCCAACCAUUUUUCUGUAUUUCAUUAAUAGUUUCAAUUAAAAGUUUUCUUUUUUGAUAGUUUAAUAUUGUCCCUCAUUGUAUCUUUUUUAAUUUGUUGAGACGAGAUCAUAGCACCAUGCUUUUUAUUUUAUGAAACAGUAAAUAUUAAUGUUGUAUGGAAAAUUACUAUGUAUUUUUUGAGAUGAGAUCAUAGAGCCAUGUUAUUUGCUUAAUAAAAUAUGAGCAUAGUAUGGAUGAGAAUCUUAUAUGGGCAGUAAGGCCAUUAGCUGGUUUGUAAAAUUUUGGCACCGUCAAUAGUUGUAUGCGCCGUUCUAGGGGUUUUGUGGCUUAUUUUGGAAUCUUUUUUUCUUAUUAAUCAUGUGGUGGGAAGUGCUGGUUCAGAAUGCUAAAGAAUGGUGUCUUAGAUGGGAUGCUGAAGAAUGGUCAUGAGCCCACUCCUGAAAAUGUAAGAAAAUAUUACAUGUAACCUUUUUGUUUUCGUAUUGUAACUUAGUUUCAGGGCAAAAUCUUGCCUAUAACUUUAUCUUUAGAAUUUUUUUUUUUGGGAAUGGGCAUGAGCCCACUCUUGGAAAUGUAAGAAAAUCUUACAUGUACUUUGUAACUUUCUAACGGUUAGAUGUAACUUUUUUUUGGACUAUAACUUUAGUUUCAGGGAAAAAUCUUGCAUAUAACUUUUUUUAGUAGU